UGUGCGACGAACAGUACAGACGUGUGUCAUAUUUUUGCAAGAAAUUGAAGUAAUUGUGGUGUGAAGAACAUUAGUUUUGAACUGAACAAGGCGGAAUGACUGCGAGCGUCUACUUCAAAAGAGGCAUCAUGGAGGUGCAAAGUUUCAAUAAAGAUGCUGCAGCGCUGAAUGUAUCCUUCAUGAGUAGGGAAUAGUUACUGUAGACUAUUCAAAGAGUUUCUUUACGGUUACUUCGGUACAAAUACAUACAUUAUAUGUCAUGUGAGUAUAAUGUAUGUGGCACCAAAAAUAUUUUAA